UACGUAGGGUGCAAGCGUUGUCCGGAAUUAUUGGGCGUAAAGAGCUCGUAGGCGGUCUGUCGCGUCGGCUGUGAAAUCCCGGAGCUCAACUCCGGGUCUGCAGUCGAUACGGGCAAACUGGAGUACUGCAGGGGAGACUGGAAUUCCUGGUGUAGCGGUGAAAUGCGUAGAUAUCGGGAGGAACACCAGUGGCGAAGGCGACUACCUGGCCUGUUCUUGACGCUGAGGCGCGAAAGCUAGGGGAGCAAACGGG
rnacentral:rRNA from 1 species